rnacentral:rRNA from 1 species
UAGGGAAUCUUCCACAAUGGGCGCAAGCCUGAUGGAGCAACGCCGCGUAAGUGAAGAAGGUCUUCGGAUCGUAAAACUCUGUUGUUAGAGAAGAACAUGCAGGAGAGUAACUGUUCUUGUAUUGACGGUAUCUAACCAGAAAGCCACGGCUAACUACGUGCCAG